CCGAGCUGCGGCCCUUCCCGGGGGCGGGGACAGAGCCGGGGCCGCACCUCCCAGCGCCAGGCAGAGGCAGCGCGGCCCCCGCUUCGUAACUCGGGAGCUGCCUGCUGCAGAAGUAGCGUCUGAGGCGGUUAGAGAGAAGUGGUGGUAAUAAAGGGAAAAGUUCUUCCAGCAGAUGUGGUUGGUGGAUCUCUGAAAAUUAAGACAAAUAUGCACUCGAGGAACUCUGCACGUAUAUCAAAAUCCACUGGUAUCCAGAUAUAAUUUUUUUUAAGUACAAUUCCUCCUAUACCGACCAUUGCAGAUCCUCAAAAGACUUGUCGUGCUACUCAGAGGAAGUGUUGUGUUGCCAACAGAUCUGUCUCAGACAUAAAAGAGGAAAUUUUAAAAUGGACGUUAUAUUAUUCUAGUCCAGAAAUGGGGAGAUUACCAUAUGUAGAAGUAUAUCAUUAUAUAAGAAGAAAAACUCUCUCUUUAGUUUUUCAACUGAAUCAGAGUUAUAAAUGGAAAAUCUAGUAUUCAGGGACAUCACAUAGAUUUGUGACACUCCUUACAGGACUUUAAUUCUAUUAUCCAGUGAACAGUUCACUUCCGUGCACCUGUGUAUUUUUCAUCUAUGUCAGAUAAAAUAUGGACAUUUUAUUUUUGUAGUCUUGUCUUAACUGUGGUAAAAUUCUCCAUCCUUCUGUGGGAUCAAAUACAUCAGCUUUGCUUAUAAUAAACUCUGUACUAUGUUAA